GGACUUUUAGCUCAGUUGGUUAGAGCAGCAGACUCAUAAUCUGAAGGUCAUAGGUUCAAGCCCUAUAAGGUCCA
rnacentral:tRNA from 1 species